rnacentral:rRNA from 1 species
GACGAACGUUGGCGGCGUGCUUAACACAUGCAAGUCGAACGGAAAGGCCCCUUUGGGGGUACUCGAGUGGCGAACGGGUGAGUAACACGUGAGUAACCUGCCCUUGACUUCGGGAUAACUUCAGGAAACUGGGGCUAAUACCGGAUAGGAAUCCUUGCUGCAUGGUGGGGGUUGGAAAGCUUCGGCGGUUUUGGAUGGACUCGCGGCUUAUCAGCUUGUUGGUGGGGUAGUGGCUUACCAAGGCUUUGACGGGUAGCCGGCCUGAGAGGGCGACCGGCCACAUUGGGACUGAGAUACGGCCCAGACUCCUACGGGAGGCAGCAGUGGGGAAUAUUGCACAAUGGGCGGAAGCCUGAUGCAGCAACGCCGCGUGCGGGAUGACGGCCUUCGGGUUGUAAACCGCUUUCAGCAGGGGCGAAGCUUGUGGUGACGGUACCUGCAGAAGAAGCACCGGCUAACUACGUG